rnacentral:pre_miRNA from 1 species
UAGGGGUAAAAUAGUGAGUAGCCGACUUGGGGUAGUGAUCGACCCUCAUGAUAAGUUUAAAUUUGCUUUUUUUUUACUCCACAAACUUUUUACCGUGGGAAAAAGAUUCUUGUAGGGGUAUAAAAAAACCAGAUUUAAAUUUAGCCCAAGGGUUGGUGAUGUAUUUUCCCCAAGAAGGCUCCUCACUAUUUUACCCCAA